AAAUUUUAAGUAUGCAUUGUAAUUUUGCAUAUUUGGAUAUAUAUUUUGAAUAAAACAAAUGGUUAAACGUAAUCUAAAAGUUAACGAUGUCAUAUAUAAAUAAAAAAUAUGGAGGGAGUAGUAAAUUAAGUUUGGUCUGAUCGGAGUAGAAGAGAGACCUGCAUGCUAGCUACCAUGUAAACACAUUUCUGGAGUUGCAAGAAGGUACAGAAUGUUUUGACUGUUUGAGAAAAGUUGGUGAAGAAAUUAAAUAAGAGAUUAGUUAUGAUUAGUACUGAGAUGAGAUAGAUAGCAAUUUAUUACACGUAAUACCUCAUGGCUCAAUAGUAAAUUCCGGAGGAAUAACUAGAAAACAGGCAUGAAAAAUUAAAUUUCUCAACGUUGUUCAGAUGGACGAGCAGAAAUUUGUGGUUACGUUAACCACAGAACUUAUCAACUAGUGCAAAAUAAACUAUAAACUUAUGUCAAGUCAAUAUGGACCUUUGGUUUUAUUUUGUCUUUUUUUCCCUUUAAAUAAAAUCUCACGGUAGAAAAAGAAGAGAGAGAGAGAGAGGGAGAGAUCUAUUAAAAGCCUGAUGUUCUGCAUCUUCUUCCCUCCGUCUCAAACUCACGUGGUGGGGUUUACUACCGUCGAUGAUUGUGUUGUUGUGGUAGGAUGGAAGGCUAUGGGUGAAGCCCCCUGUGAUGACAAUACUCUUUGGGGAAUCAUGAAAGUGUUCUUGCCUUCUUUAAACAAACUUUAGGCUAAAAACCUAGAUCCAAUAUGGAUCUGUCAAUAAUGGCAUCUUGGAUGUAAUUUUUUCUUCUUGGAGGAAUUGCUUUGAAGGUUUCUAGACUAGCAAUGGUUUAUCAAUGACAAGUGCUUUUGGUACAACAUUGUUGGUGGUGGUGUUUCUACCGGAUUAGCUUUGAUGGUUAUUGCGGUGGUAGAAUCUACACAAAUAGCUGAUCUACAACUCAGUUACUCUUCGAUAUUUAUCAUCCAUUUUAGUUUCACCGUUAGUCGUUGGUGGUGAUAUAAGCAUCAAUCAACACAAUGGUUAGUCAUUAUUUUCACGGAUCGGAUUUGUUGGUCCGAGGAAUAUAGCGGCUACAUUUAGCUUAUAAGUCGUUGUGGAAA
rnacentral:lncRNA from 1 species